CGAGGCGGCCGGGAGAUGCAGCGAGGCCAGCGCGCCAGCCAGAUGAACCAUUGGCAGGCAGGAUAUCUCUGAGAGGAGUCCAGGCCAUAAAGAUAACCUAAGGACUGAACCCUAUCUUGAGGUUUAGACAUACAGGGAGAAUAAACUGUGGGAUCAUCACAGAUGGAAUACUCUACAGCAGUGAGAAUGGAACCCCUACAACUACAUGCGGCAAUACGGGUGCCUGUCACAGAGGCAGGAUUGAACAAAAGAAACCAGGCACUGUGUGAUUCCAUUUAUAUAAAGUUUCCAAACUUGCAAAGCACAUCUGUGAUGUUGGAAGUCUGGGCAGUGUUUCCCCUUGAGGGGAAGGUGGUGACAAGGAGGGGAUUUCAGGUGUGCUGGCAAUGCUGGUUCUUGAUAUGCUGCUGGGACAACAACAUUUAGUUUGUGAAAAAAGAUUGAACAGUACACUCAGGUGCAUUUUAAUGUAUGUAUGCUCUCUUUUGAUGAAAAGCAUUUUAUUUUUUAAAGGGCUGUCCCAUUUUUAUGCACGUGUCUCACUGAGGUAAGAGAGUCAGGCUCCCAGCUUGAAGAUGGAGAAGGAAUUUGGAUUUCCAGGCAGAUGGGGUAAAGGGGAAAGGGACUCAUUCUAAUAUUUAUUCAGUCCAUAAGAGAACUUUCUUUCC